rnacentral:rRNA from 1 species
CCCCUAGAUGUUCUGGGCCGCACGCGCGCUACACUGACGCAAGCAGCGGGUCCCUGCGCCGAGAGGCGUGGGCAAUCCCCAAACUGCGUCGUGAUGGGGCUUGACGAUUGCAAUUAUUCGUCACCAACGAGGAAUUCCUAGUAAGCGCGAGUCAUCAGCUCGCAUUGAUUACGUCCCUGCCCUUUGUACACACCGCCCGUCGCACCUACCGAUUGAAUGGUCCGGUGAAAUCUCGGGACGGCGGCUUGGUCGCUUGCGUCCGACUGCUGAAACUUGAUUAAACCAUAUCAUUUAGAGGAAGGUGAANUCGUAACA